rnacentral:rRNA from 1 species
ACUCCUACGGGAGGCAGCAGUAGGGAAUAUUAGAAAUGGACGAAAGUCUGAUCUAGCAACACCGCGUGUGCGAAGAAGGCCUUCGGGUCGUAAAGCACUUUUUGGAAGGAAUAGGAAGGAAUGUACUUCCAGAAUAAGUCUCGGCUAACUACGUGCCAGCAGCCGCGGUAACACGUAGGAGGCGAACGUUAUCCGGAUUUACUGGGCGUAAAGCGCGUGUAGGUGGUACUGUAAGUAGGGCGUGAAAGCUCCUGGCUCAACUGGGAGAGGCCGUUCUAAACUACAGAACUAGAGGAUGGUAGAGGGAGGUGGAAUUCCAGGUGUAGCGGUGGAAUGCGCAGAUAUCUGGAGGAACACCGGUGGCGAAGGCGGCCUCCUGGACCAUUCCUGACACUCAGACGCGAAAGCUAGGGUAGCAAACGGGAUUAGAGACCCCGGUAGUCCUAGCCCUAAACGAUGUAGACUAGGCGUCGGAAGCUUAAUCGCUUUCGGUGUCCAAGCUAACGCGAUAAGUCUACCGCCUGGGGACUACGGCCGCAAGGUUAAAACUCAAAGGAAUUGACGG